GGGAAAAGCAUCUCUGGCACCUGUCCCUCUGUCAGCAGUGCCAGGGGUCAUGGCAGUUUACUCUCUCCUUUCUCUUCUGCUUUCCAGAUGAGUUUGCCACACAGGAGUACAGUGCUCCCUGCACCACAGUCAAGGCUGAACAGGGAAAUUCCUGAAGAAUGCAUCUUGUCUGAGUCUUGCUGUAUCAGCUCAUACGUCUCUGCCCCUAGAAGAUCUUCUUGUUGAGGGUGGGGUAUUGAAACAUUAGAGGAGGACACCUCAAAAACACAAAGGAAGUAACAUUGUAAAUAAAUUAAGUCUUGAUUCUCAUCA